GACGAACGCUGGCGGCGUGCCUAAUACAUGCAAGUCGAACGCAUUGUCUUUCACCGUAGCUUGCUACACCGAAAGAAAAUGAGUGGCGAACGGGGGAGUAACACGUGGGUAACCUGCCCAUCAGCGGGGGAUAACACUUGGAAACAGGUGCUAAUACCGCAUAAUUCCAUUUACUGCAUGGUAGAUGGAUGAAAGGCGCUUUUGCGGCACUGAUGGAUGGACCCGCGGUGCAUUAGCUAGUUGGUGGGGUAACGGCCUACCAAGGCUGCGAUGCAUAGCCGACCUGUGUGGGUGAUCGGCCACACUGGGACUGGGACACGGCCCAGACUCCUACGGGAGGCAGCAGUAGGGAAUCUUCGGCAAUGGACGCAAGUCUGACCGAGCAACGCCGCGUGAGUGAAGAAGGUUUUCGGAUCGUAAAACUCUGUUGUUAGUAAAGAACAAGGAUGAGAGUGGACAGUGCAUCCCUUGACGGUAUCUAACCAGAAAGCCCCGGCAACCUCCGU
rnacentral:rRNA from 1 species